GGAGAGCUUGUGUGCACUGACAUCAGCUCCGAUUGGAGGCUCCCCUCCGCCUGGUUUUGGGUGGGAGUAUUCUGCAGAGACAAGCAGACAGAGACAGGCCAUCAUCACCUGAGCCAGUCACAGAUCAGCGUUGCUUUCAAGAAGAUGUCAGUGUAUGGAAUUUGGGCUGGAUCGGGUCGUGGUUCAGCUCUCCCCCCUGCGUCGCGGAACCUGCACCGGAACCAGCACCGAGACUUUUCAUCAACGACCUAGCCGAGGACGACGAGCCUUAAAGGGCGGUGCAAGUCGAGCUCCCCGUCGGCCUGCAAUAAUGAUGUCAGAGUCGGAUAUAGCACACUCUGCACGCACAAUGCGCUUAUUUGCAUAACAUUUCGAUCAUCUAUAACCAUGCCAAAUGCAUUUUAUAUGAAUCUCCCAUACACUACUGCUCCAAUAAAGGUUAUGCACACUCA